rnacentral:lncRNA from 1 species
AUCUUUAGCUUUAGGUAAAUAAGGUUUUUAUUUGGAUUCAUGCUAAAUUUUUUUGCUUAGUAUUAUUGUUAGGAUGUAAUUUUCACAAUUUUGAGCACUAUAUCUUUUGCCUUGAAUUAUUGUCAUUAUUUAGAGAAGGUUUAUAUUGAUAUAAAAUUUAGAUUAUGUUAUGAAUUCUAGAAUUUGCUUGAUUCUCUCUCGAGAUGAAAUCCUAGGCAAUACUUAGUUAGGGACAUGAUUUAAGUCAUCUUUUGAACUAUUUAAGCCUUUCAAGCUAACCCUGAUAUAUUUUUAUCCCUAGUAUACCCUUUUGAGCUUAAUUUUCCUUUUCUUUGUUUAACCACAUAAUAAUGAGCUUAGCCUUUUAAAAUAAACUUUUAAUUUUGCAACCCUUAUUCCGAAACAUUUAUAUUGUUUUAGGAAAUAUAGAUUGAGCUAGAUAGUGUAAAGGUAGAAAAGGUUGAGAUGUUGAAAAAUUCAAAAUUAUUAGUAUUUGUCCCACUAUUUACCAUAAAAGAAAUAAAUUUGGGAGUGUGAAAUUGUGAUAUCAAAAAAAAAAAGAAAGAAAGAAAAAAAAGAUUAAACAAAACAAAAAGUUCAAAAGUGAAGAAAAAUGGUGUAUGUGGAGAAUGAAAAUAAAGCUCUUUAUAGGUCCUAGAAUAAUUAUGUGUUUCGAGUGAUUUGAGUUACAUUAUAUCCUUUAUCCUACCUUGACCUUAGACAUACAUUACAAGCUUAAUAAAGACCUAUUGAUCCCUAGUUUUGUAUGCGUCUAAUUAGUGGAGAAAUAGUUGAAAAGUAAACUUAUGAAAUUCUAGUAUUAAUUUGAAUUUCGUCUUGGCAUAAACUCAUUUGAAUGUCAUGAUAUACUUGGUAAAAGAUUUCACACACACACAUGAAAAUCCAUUCGAGAAUGUUCUUACAUUAGAAUUUAAGCAUGAAUUUGAAUGAUGCCUAUAUUUUUCCUUAAGAUUGAGAUUGAUAGACAUACUUUUGAGGAAAUUAUGAGAAAUCAUUGACUUGGUGCACUUUAUCUCUAGUAGUUGCUUUAUUUAGUUAUUUCGCUUUUAUUAUUUAAACCAUUUUGCAUAAGUUAGUUUUUUUCUGCGUUUUGCUUGAGGACUAGCAAAAUCUUAAGUUUGGGAGUGUGAUAACUUUAUGAUAUAGAGUUUUUAGACUUGAUUUUGAUAGUAAUUUAACUUAGUUCUUGUAGUCAUGCAUAGAAAUUAAUUUGAUUUUAUUUAAUUAUUUUAAGUUAGUUAAUUAGGUGAGUCAAUCUAAUCUUACUGAAUUUUUUGCUUAAAUUGGUGUUUAUGUGUCUAAGAUAUUUUAUUAUUGAUUAAUUUGAUGAUUUUGUAGGUUUGCAAUUAACAAGGCGAAAAGUUGUUGGGUGUUCACGAGAUGCAAACCUUCACUGCACAUAUUUCUGUAUUUUGAUCAUAACUUUCUCUACAGAACUUCAAAUAAGGUAAUUCUUAAACCAUUGGAAUUCUAAGAGAAGAAUAUACAACUUUCAUGCUUUCUAGUUCACCCAAUUCUGAUCGGAAUAUGGUUGAAAUUUUUGUCAAAAUUGAAGGACUGCAUCAAGAGCGCGAAAGUCAGAACAUAACAUUGAGAAUUGUGACUCUAGAUGUUGAGGACCGUAGUGCUAAAAAUGACCAGGAACAUGGGCACCAACACAGAGAUAUGAGGGCCAUGGCUCUGGGGAAUGAGAGUCGCGACACUCGAAGAAAAUACUGCAAAAUCCUUUUUGGAUUAAACUUAUUCUUGACACAAACUUGUACCCUAUUUAAGCAACCUUUUAUAGGACUUUUAGAGGCAUGAAACACAAGACUUAGAGCUAAGAUUCAGCCACAAAAUCAUUGAAUAAAAGUCUCAUUGGAGCUAAGAAGAAGUUGCAAGAUUCAGGAAGAUUUGGAGAUUAAGAUUUCAACUCUUAAAGUUUCUUUAUUCUUUUUGUUAUUCUUUUUUUUUUCUUAAUUUGGUUUCAACGUUUGAACUUUAUUUAAUGAUGAUGUGUGAUAUUAUGG